AUAUUCAUACCGAUUCUAUUCGUGUCUCUAAGAAAUGGAAUUUUUGAAACACAGUCUGCUUUUCCUUGCUGCUCUGGCGAUGGCAACUUUGGCUGUCAUCCAGGCUGCUCCUGACCCUGAUCCACAACUCAGGCCUAUCGGCAGAAAAUGAAUGCUCCUGACCGUUUGGAUUUGCAGGUAUGGGAAACGACCGAAUAUGCUUCUUCUUCAAGAAUAAAAAUGCUUCUACAGAGAUAAACGAUAACUUCUAAAAGAUUUGUAAACUGUUAUUCAAUGUCAUGUUAACCAAAAUUUAAAAAUUGUUUUUCUAUUUGACAAGUGUUUCCAAAAUAUGCAAUAAUAAAGCAUCUUAAAAAAUU